rnacentral:tRNA from 1 species
GGCCCCAUAGCCAAGUGGUUAAGGCAGGGAACUUUAAAUUCUCCAUUCGAGGGUUCGAACCCCUCUGGGGCCACCA